rnacentral:misc_RNA from 1 species
GGAAGAGGUUAGAACUUUCAACUGCCAAUUAGAGACUGACAUCGAUGAAAAAAAUAAAGAAACUUGUUUGGUGACUCCUACCUUUCAGAUAAAACAUGUUUGGAAUAAGCAAAUUUCUGCAUGCAGUGAUCUAUUUUAGUGAAACUGUUCUAAAUGGACGAAAUGAAAUUUUUGGCUUCAAAUUACUGAAUUGGAGCACUAAAUUUUUCAUGGAGGAGCAAUGGGCUCAUGAAUGAUGAUUGUAAUAGUUGCCAUUUGCAAGUAGGUUCCUACUACUUUGUUUCUGGACACAAAGAAAUUAUGUUAAGAUUAGCGAUAACUUCCUAAGUUUGAUAAAAAAGGGUUUGUCAUGGAUCUAUUUGCCUGAAAGCACUGGAAGCACUUCAUGACUUUUGUGUGUUAAUGUUUUACACUCGUUUAAGGCCAUUCAGACCUAAAAUAAAUGUUUUCUUUUUUUUUGGUUAACACUGUCAUGGAGAUGGAGGGCAAAUUAACCUGUGUGCACUCUGGUGUGUAAGCUCUCUACUUUUACAUGGUAUCAUAUCGCAAUGACUCUGGCUUUUAUUGCCUUUUUCAAAGUUAGUAGAUGACUUCUAUAAUGGAGGAAUUGGACACUAGUUGAUUUGUGGUGUUUCUACUUUUUAUCUUCAAGAAAUUUUUUUAUUUAUUUGUGCAUUUUGUUGGGGUCACUUAUACUUACAAGGAUUUGAGCUUCCUAUGUACUACGAGAUUUGGGUGCUUUUAUAGUUUGUUGUAGUCGUUUUCAAAUGUCAAAGCUAAUCUUUUUUAAUGCAUUGAAUUAUAUUCAUCAUAAAAAUAAUAAAAUUUUGAUAGCUCAGUUUUUUUUCGUUGGGACAGCAUGGUCAUGUGCUUGUGGGAUAUAUAGAAUACCAUAAAUACUGAAGCAAUAAAUAGUGAAGGCACAAAUAGCAUAAAAUAUUGCAUCAAGUUGUAGAUGGAUACUCUGGAAAGAAGUCAUUUGGUGAAAUCACACAAUUUAGUUACUAAAGCUAGUGUCAAGGAAAAUUGCAUUUCUCAUUGUAGUUAAAACGCUCAAGAAAGAGCUUAGGGGGCUCAUCUCAAAUCCUUUUGCAACCAGAAAUAUGAUUGAUUUAUCUUUAUUAUUAUUUUUCAAGGGAUGGGGAUCUUAUGAUACUGACUCGCAACCACUUAACAACUAAUGAAACGGUAAUCUAUUGAUUAAUAUUGGAAUGUUAUUGUAAAUUUCUUAUAGCUUACAUCAUAUACUGGCUAGUUUGGGAAGAGUUAUUUUUGCUCACUGCUGCCCUCUAAAGAUUCUUUAGUGUAUUGGUGUUAUCUUUCUUAAGUCUAUUUCUGCACCUCUAUGCUGCUGGACGAGGCUCUUCAUAUCAAAUAAUGCCCGUUAAUGAUUUGAAAGUUGUUUCUGACAAUUUCUGGGCUACAUUCUGUUCAUGUAGACUAUUAGAAUAUAAAUAUAUAUAAUCACGGUAAAUUUUGCAGGCUGCAAAAGAGUUUGAGUCUGAGCUUAAGAAGGAGCCCGAUUCACUAUCGGAGAGCCCAGAAGAAAAACCUACAGCAGUCGGUGAAGAGAAGAAACAAGAUGUUGAAGUCUCAAGCUCAAAGGAGAGUGUAUGAGACUGUAGAAAUAUGCAGUUGAUGCAAUUUUCUUUUGUUAUGUAAUUCCUAUGCGUUUAGAUCAUAUUUUUCACGCAGCAUAGAUCAGUGAGAAAUCGCAAUUUGAACUGGUAAGAUGGUCAUAUGCUACAAUUGAACAAGUAGGCAGGAGUCUGAUAAACUUUAGUAGGGAAGUUAGCAAUUUUCCAUCUCGUUUCAAACAUGUUAUCUAUUAAGAAUUCUGCAAAUAUAUUGAACUGCUUGUUGCUUUGCAAGUCAUCAAGUGUUUCACAUAUGUCAUUCACUGUCCAUUACUAAUCUAAGCUUAAGGAUGAAUUUGCCUGGCCUUGACUUGAUCAUUGGCUAAAGGCAUAUUAU